rnacentral:lncRNA from 1 species
UCGGCCCGAAAGCUCUAGAAUGCACCCCUCUUCCUCCCCGGGGCCUUCCACCUCCGCGAGUUUUAUGACUUAAAAAAGCCCACAGGCUGGUCUGAAGAGGAAGACAAACAUAAAGAUGAAGUGCUUAAUUCAAGGUCACACAAUGUCGGGGAUGGACCUCCAGAUUUCCUUACUGGAAAACAAGCUCAGGGCUCCCACUGAUUGUACAUUAUGACGGAGUCUCGCUCUGUCGCCCAGGCUGGAGUGAAGUGGCGCGAUCUCGGCUCACUGCAAGCUCCGCCUCCCGGGUUCACACCAUUCUCCUGCCUCAGCCUCCCGAGUAGCUGGGACUACAGGCGCCCGCUACCACGCCCGGCUAAUUUUUUGUAUUUUUAGUAGAGACGGGGUUUCACCGUUUUAGCCGGGAUGGUCUCGAUCUCCUGACCUCGUGAUCCGCCCGCCUCGGCCUCUCAAAGUGCUGGGAUUACAGGCGUGAGCCACCGCGCCCGGCCUUAACCACUUUUAAGUCUUUACAUUUUGGUAGUCUUAGGUAUAUUCACAUUUUGUGCAGCAGAUCUCCAGAACUUUUUCAUCUUGCAAAACUGAAACUCUGUACCCAUUAAACAACAACUCUUCUUGCCCUA